AUCAGGCUUGCUUUUUUAUGAUGGCAGGAAUUAUGGGAAUAAUUUUGAUAUAAACCAGGCAUAGAAGUGUAUGGAUGAAAUAUUGUCUGAGCUGGCUUUAGCCACUGCCUUUCAGUUGAGUUAGCUGGGAAGGAGCAGCUCAACUCCUUGGUGAAGAUACUCAGUCUUCAAGCAAAGUGCAGGCACGUGUCACUGCACACAGCAAAGACAAGGCCAGUCUGAUCAGAGACAUGAACGAUGAGAGAAGCACAGUUCCUGAAUAUUGCACUGGGAGAGCACCAGACUGGGUGGGAAGAAAAGCCACAGAGGCACUGCAGAAAUGAAGAGAGGUAGCAGGACAUGCAGCCAGUGCACCCCUAUGAAAGACCAAGGGAUGAACCGAAGACCUUGCUUUGCUGGAUGCUGAGUGCCCUAAAGUUCCAUUACACAUCUCAGGAAAGAACCUUAAUGGUUUUAUUGGGACCCAUAUCUGCACAUAUAAACAUGGCCUUUGAAGAUGAAAGGAUUUUUUUUUUUUCUCUGCUUCUAUUUGUUGCCUCUUGGUCGACAUGUUCCUAUAUGGACAGUCAGUCCCCAGAUAUCUGUUCCCUAAUCAGGGACAUGAAUAACAUCCUCAGAGGGAAGACUCUGGAACACCUAUGAAAGUCAGAAGUGUGAGGAAUACAUCUCAGAUGAUGCAGAUGCAGUCACUGCUGUAUGAUCAGAUAAGCAACAUUGCAAGUUCAUUUUUGUAUGCUAAAUAAAAUAAAAAUGUCAAUAUUUACA
rnacentral:lncRNA from 1 species